UACGGAGGGUGCGAGCGUUGUCCGGAAUCACUGGGCGUAAAGGGCGCGUAGGCGGCGCGAGUAGUCAACGGUGAAAGCCCGGGGCUCAACCCCGGGUCGGCCGUCGAUACUCUCGUGCUUGAGCACUGUAGAGGCAGGUGGAAUUCCGGGUGUAGCGGUGGAAUGCGUAGAGAUCCGGAAGAACACCGGUGGCGAAGGCAGGUCUCUGGGCCGAUACUGACGCUGAGGAGCGAAAGCGUGGGGAGCGAACAGG
rnacentral:rRNA from 1 species